rnacentral:rRNA from 1 species
UCGAAACCUGCCCGACAGAGCGACCCGCGAACACGUUACAAACACUGCGCGGGGCGGCCUCGGCUGCCUCGCGCGGAGGUGCUGCGGCUGCGUGCGCAAACUAGCGCGCGCACGCUGUCCGUGCCACCUCCACUAACAGAACCCCGGCGCGGACUGCGCCAAGGAAAAAAAACGAAUGAGAGCGAGCGCCCUCCUCGCCCCGGAGACGGUGCGCGACGGUUGGCGCCUCGCUGUCCAUUGAUAAACUAAACGACUCUCGGCAACGGAUAUCUCGGCUCUCGCAUCGAUGAAGAACGUAGCGAAAUGCGAUACUUGGUGUGAAUUGCAGAAUCCCGUGAAUCAUCGAGUCUUUGAACGCAAGUUGCGCCCGAAGCCUUCUGGCCGAGGGCACGUCUGCCUGGGUGUCACGCAACGUCGCCGCCAACCCCACCCCUAGGGGCGGGCAGUUGGGGGCGGACUCUGGCCUCCCGUGCGCCUCGGCGCGCGGAUGGCCUAAAUUUCAGCUCCUGGCGAGGAUCGCCACGACAAGCGGUGGUUUUUUGAACUAAGGACCUCGGGUGUUGUCGUGCGGCCUCCCGGAGGGAACGGACCCCGUGCGCUCGCGCACCAUCCUACCGAGACCCCAGGUC